rnacentral:rRNA from 1 species
UACGAAGGGGGCUAGCGUUGCUCGGAAUCACUGGGCGUAAAGCGCACGUAGGCGGAUUGCUAAGUCAGGGGUGAAAUCCUGGAGCUCAACUCCAGAACUGCCUUUGAUACUGGUGAUCUCGAGUCCGGGAGAGGUGAGUGGAACUGCGAGUGUAGAGGUGAAAUUCGUAGAUAUUCGCAAGAACACCAGUGGCGAAGGCGGCUCACUGGCCCGGUACUGACGCUGAGGUGCGAAAGCGUGGGGAGCAAACAGG